GAAAUGCGAUAAGUAAUGUGAAUUGCAGAAUCCAGUGAAUCAUCGAAUCUUUGAACGCACCUUGCGCCCUCUGGUAUUCCGGAGGGCAUGCCUGUUUGAGUGUCGUGAACACCUCAACCCUCCGACGUUUUCUUUAGCGUCGGAGGCGUUGGUAGUGAGCGCUGCCGGGCUUUGAACCGGCUCGCUUCAAAACCAUCAGCUGGAUCCAUUCCGACCUGGUUCUACUCGGCGUAAUAAGUCAUUGUCGUCGAGGACGCCGGCCUUCUGGGCGGGCGGCCACAGUAAGGGUGUCUGAACCGCUUCCAACACGUCUCGCUCUCGUAGCGAACGCUUGAACCUCUGACCUCAAAUCAGGCAGGACUACCCGCUGAACUUAA
rnacentral:misc_RNA from 1 species